GUUCUCGUGGCGCAAUCGGUAGCGUGUUUGACUUCGACGGAUCCUAAAGACUUCAGACCUUGCUCCUACCCUCUCGAAUGGGUAUUUCGUCCUGAUAGGACACAGAAACGUCAAAAGGUUGUCGGUUCGAGCCCGGCCGAGGACG